rnacentral:rRNA from 1 species
CGUCGUCUAAGGUCCCGAAGCGUGUGCUAAGUGGGAAAGGAUGUGGAGUCGCAUAGACAGCCAGGAGGUUGGCUCAGAAGCAGCCAUCCUUGAAAGAGUGCGUAACAGCUCACUGGUCUAGUGGUUCCGCGCCGACAAUGUAGCGGGGCUCAAGCACACCACCGAAGACGCGGCAGCGGCCUUUGCGGCCGUUGGGUAGGAGAGCGUCCCGCGUGGGGCGAAGCGGCCGGGGAACCGUGCCGUGGACCGCGCGGGAGUGAGAAUGCAGACAUGAGUAGCGAGAGACGGGUGAGGAUCCCGUCCGCUGGAUGACCAAGGGUUCCGGGGCCACGUUCGUCGUCCCCGGGUGAGUCGGGUCCUAAGGCGAGGCCGACAGGCGUAGUCGAAUGGAUGAACGGGUGGAUAUUCCCGUACCGGCGGCGUACCGUAAGAGCCGAACGGAUGAGUACUAACCUCCGGUCGCGUGGCGUCGUUCCCUUCGGGGUUCGGGGCGCGUGGCUGUUGGGAGCGUAGUCCUGGUAGGCUAGCGCACAGGGGUGACACGGAAUGGGAGCCGGCCGCGGAGGUGGUUUUCCGUGGUCAAGCACGCAGCCCGUCCCAUAGGCAAAUCCGUGGGACGCAUAGGGUGAGGUGUGAUGAUGGGCGCCUUUUUGGCGCGAUAUCCGGUGGUCCAGGCCGUCGAGAAAAGCCUCGGCGCGAGGGGCGUCGCCGCCCGUACCCCAAACCGACACUGGUGGUCAGGUAGAGAAUACCAAGGCGAUCGAGCGAAUCCUGGUCAAGGAACUCGGCAAAUCACUCCCGUGCCUUCGGUAUAAGGGAGACCCCCGGGCGUGAAGAGGCUUGCCCUCGGAGCGUUGGGGGGUGGCACAGACCAGGGGGUAGCGACUGUUUACCAAAAACACAGGUGCAUGCGAAGGCGCAAGCCGCUGUAUAUGCACUGACGCCUGCCCGGUGCCGGAAGGUUAAGAGGAUCCGUCAGCCCCUUUGGGGUGAAGCGGUGAAUUCAAGCCCCGGUAAACGGCGGUGGUAACUAUAACCAUCCUAAGGUAGCGAAAUUCCUUGUCGGGUAAGUUCCGACCUGCACGAAUGGCGUAACGACUUCCCCACUGUCUCGACCAGGAGCUCGGCGAAAUUGCAGUACGAGUAAAGAUGCUCGUUAAGCGCAGAAGGACGAAAAGACCCCGGGACCUUUACUAUACCUUGGUAUUGGCGUUAGGCGCGGAUUGUGUAGCAUAGGCGGGAGGCUUCGAAGCAUGGGCGCCAGCCCGUGUGGAGCCGCAAGGUGAAAUACCGCUCUGUUCUCGUUUGACGUCUAACCUCGAACAGUCAUCCUGUUCAGGGACAGUGCCUGGCGGGUAGUUUAACUGGGGCGGUUGCCUCCCAAAGAGUAACGGAGGCGCUCAAAGGUCCGCUCAGCCCGGUUGGCAAUCGGGUUUCGAGUGUAAUCGCACAAGCGGGCUUGACUGCGAGAACGACGGUUCGGGCAGGGACGAAAGUCGGAGAUAGUGAUCCGGUGCCGGCGCACGGGCGCGGCAUCGCUCAACGGAUAAAAGGUACCCCGGGGAUAACAGGCUGAUCAUUCCCAAGAGUCCAUAUCGACGGGAUGGUUUGGCACCUCGAUGUCGGCUCGUCGCAUCCUGGGGCUGGAGCAGGUCCCAAGGGUUCGGCUGUUCGCCGAUUAAAGCGGCACGCGAGCUGGGUUCAGAACGUCGUGAGACAGUUUGGUCUCUAUCCUCUGCGCUCGUUGGAAUCCUGAGGAGGCCUGCCCAUAGUACGAGAGGACCUGGGUGGACG